GAAGAACAUCCAGGACAGAGAAAUACACAAAUUAUUAAUACAAUAGAACAUUACGACAUGCUAAUAAUUAUUAAAAAUACCAGUCUUAUAAUUUAAUACGCGUGUUUCGACUACAUAAGACUCAUCAGUGACGCUUAUGUCAAAAUAGUAAAGAAAGCUAAACAUUUUCACUACGAUAUGUGGUUUCGUUAGUCUAAAAAAGAAAUAC
rnacentral:lncRNA from 1 species